rnacentral:tRNA from 1 species
GGAGAGUUGGCAGAGCGGUUGAAUGCGCACGCCUCGAAAGCGUGUGAGCUCGAAAGGGCUUCGAAGGUUCAAAUCCUUCACUCUCCG